UAGGGAAUCUUCCGCAAUGGGCGAAAGCCUGACGGAGCAACGCCGCGUGAGUGAUGAAGGUCUUCGGAUCGUAAAACUCUGUUAUUAGGGAAGAACAAAUGUGUAAGUAACUAUGCACGUCUUGACGGUACCUAAUCAGCAAGCCACGGCUAACUACGUGCCAGCAGCCGCGGUAAUACGUAGGUGGCAAGCGUUAUCCGGAAUUAUUGGGCGUAAAGCGCGCGUAGGCGGUUUUUUAAGUCUGAUGUGAAAGCCCACGGCUCAACCGUGGAGGGUCAUUGGAAACUGGAAAACUUGAGUGCAGAAGAGGAAAGUGGAAUUCCAUGUGUAGCGGUGAAAUGCGCAGAGAUAUGGAGGAACACCAGUGGCGAAGGCGACUUUCUGGUCUGUAACUGACGCUGAUGUGCGAAAGCGUGGGGAUCAAACAGG
rnacentral:rRNA from 1 species